rnacentral:rRNA from 1 species
UCUAACACAUGCAAGUCGAACGAAGGCUUCGGCCUUAGUGGCGCACGGGUCAGUAACACCUGGGAACUUGCCUUUCGGUUCGGAAUAACUCGGGGAAACUGGAGCUAACACCGGAUACGCCCUUCGCCGGAAAGUUUACGCCGAGAGAUGGGCCCGCGCCGGAUUAGGUAGUUGGUGGAGUAAUGGCCUACCAAGCGGACGAUCCGUAGCUGGUCUGAGAGGAUGAUCAGCCACACUGGGACUGAGACACGGCCCAGACUCCUACGGGAGGCAGCAGUGGGGAAUAUUGGACAAUGGGCGCAAGCCUGAUCCAGCAAUGCCGCGUGAGUGAUGAAGGCCUUAGGGUUGUAAAGCUCUUUCGCACGCGACGAUGAUGACGGUAGCGUGAGAAGAAGCCCCGGCUAACUUCGUGCCAGCAGCCGCGGUAAUACGAAGGGGGCUAGCGUUGUUCGGAAUUACUGGGCGUAAAGGGCGCGUAGGCGGCCUGUUCAGUCAGGAGUGAAAGCCCGGGCUUAACCCGGGAACGGCUUUUGAUACUGGCAGGCUUGAGUUCCGGAGAGGAUGGUGGAAUUCCCAGUGUAGAGGUGAAAUUCGUAGAUAUUGGGAAGGAACACCGGUGGGGAAGGCGGCCAUCUGGACUCGCACUGACGCUGAGGCGCGAAAGCUCCGGGAGCAAACAGGAUUAGAUACCCUGGUAGUCCACGCCGUAAACGAUGAGUGCCAGACGCUGGGAUGCAUGCAUUUCGGAUGUCGUCGCUAACGCAAUUAAGCACUCCGCCUGGGGAGUACGGCCGCAAGGUUAAAACUCAAAGGAAUUGACGGGGGCCCGCACAAGCGUGGAGCAUGUGGUUUAAUUCGAAGCAACGCGCAGAACCUUACCAACCCUUGACAUGUCCGUCGCGGGUGGGAGAGAUCCCACUCUUCAGUUCGGCUGGACGGAACACAGGUGCUGCAUGGCUGUCGUCAGCUCGUGUCGUCCGUGA